CUUCUCAGCCCUGAUCAAGGGCCCCACUCGAACCCCCUAUGAAGAUGGCCUCUACCUGUUCGACAUCCAGCUCCCCAACAUCUACCCAGCUGUGCCCCCCCCCUUUUGCUACCUCUCCGAGUGCAGUGGCUGCCUGAACCCUAACCUGUAUGACAAUGGGAAGGUGUGCGUCAGCCUCCUGUGUACCUGGAUUGGAAAGGGGACGGAGAGGUGGACGAGCAAAUCCAGCCUUCUCCAGGUGCUCAUCUCCAUCCAAGGUCUGAUCCUGGUGAAUGAACCAUACUA